rnacentral:rRNA from 1 species
GGGGAACCAGGACUUUUACUGUGAAAAAAUUAGAGUGCUCCAGGCAGGCCUAUGCUCGAAUACAUUAGCAUGGAAUAAUAGAAUAGGACGUGUGGUUCUAUUUUGUUGGUUUCUAGGACCGCCGUAAUGAUUAAUAGGGACAGUCGGGGGCAUCAGUAUUCAAUUGUCAGAGGUGAAAUUCUUGGAUUUAUUGAAGACUAACUACUGCGAAAGCAUUUGCCAAGGAUGUUUUCAUUAAUCAGGAACGAAAGUUAGGGGAUCGAAGACGAUCASAUACCGUCGUAGUCUUAACCAUAAACUAUGCCGACUAGGGAUCGGACGGUGUUAUUUUUUGACCCGUUCGGCACCUUACGAGAAAUCAAGGUGCUUGGGCUCCAGGGGGAGUAUGGUCGCAAGGCUGAAACUUAAAGAAAUUGACGGAAGGGCACCACCAGGGGUGGAGCCUGCGGCUUAAUUUGACUCAACACGGGGAAACUCACCAGGUCCAGACACAAUGAGGAUUGACAGAUUGAGAGCUCUUUCUUGAUUUUGUGGGUGGUGGUGCAUGGCCGUUCUUAGUUGGUGGAGUGAUUUGUCUGCUUAAUUGCGAUAACGAACGAGACCU